rfam:Streptomyces sp. WAC00263 NODE_56_length_25950_cov_113.862656, whole genome shotgun sequence.
UGCAGUAGUGUGGGGAUUUUUUCGAUGCUGGCUUAUAAAGUCGCCUAUUAAUUAUUUGUUGCGUUUACUAAGCCAAUAAGUAUAAUACGCAACAGCACAGC